rnacentral:rRNA from 1 species
CCUACGGGCGGCAGCAGUGAGGAAUAUUGGUCAAUGGGCGCGAGCCUGAACCAGCCAAGUCGCGUGAGGGAAGACGGUCCUAUGGAUUGUAAACCUCUUUUGUCGGGGAGCAAAAGACGCCACGCGUGGCGUUCCGAGAGUACCCGAAGAAAAAGCAUCGGCUAACGCCGUGCCAGCAGCCGCGGUAAUACGGAGGAUGCGAGCGUUAUCCGGAUGUAUUGGGUGUACAGGGUGCGCAGGCGGACGGGCAAGUCGGCGGGAAAAUUGAGAGGCUCAACCUCUUCGAGCCGUUGAAACUGGUGUUCUUGAGUGGGCGAGACGUAGGCGGACUGCGUGGUGUAGCGGUGAAAUGCAUCGAUAUCACGCAGAACUCCGAUUGCGAAGGCAGCAUACCGGCGCUCAACUGACGCUCAUGCACGAACGUGUGGGUAUCGAACAGGAUUAGAUACCCCAGUAGUC